ACAUGCAAGUCGAACGGAAGUCGUUAUGAUGAUUUCAACACUGACAGAGAACUUGUUCAAAGAAAGUAGAGAUUGACUUAUAACAAUGGCUUUAGUGGCGGACUGGUGAGUAACACGUGAGCAACCUGCCUAUCAGAGGGGAAUAACAGUGAGAAAUCAUUGCUAAUACCGCAUAUGCCAUAAAUAUCACAUGAUGAAAGUGGGAAAGGAGUAAUCCGCUGAUAGAUGGGCUCGCGUCUGAUUAGAUAGUUGGUGGGGUAACGGCCUACCAAGUCGACGAUCAGUAGCCGGACUGAGAGGUUGAACGGCCACAUUGGGACUGAGAUACGGCCCAGACUCCUACGGGAGGCAGCAGUCGGGAAUAUUGCGCAAUGGAGGAAACUCUGACGCAGUGACGCCGCGUAUAGGAAGAAGGUUUUCGGAUUGUAAACUAUUGUCGUUAGGGAAGAUACAAGACAGUACCUAAGGAGGAAGCUCCGGCUAACUACGUGCCAGCAGCCGCGGUAAUACGUAGGGAGCAAGCGUUAUCCGGAUUUAUUGGGUGUAAAGGGUGCGUAGACGGGAAAGCAAGUUAGUUGUGAAAUCCCUCGGCUUAACUGAGGAACUGCAACUAAAACUACUUUUCUUGAGUGUUGGAGAGGAAAGUGGAAUUCCUAGUGUAGCGGUGAAAUGCGUAGAUAUUAGGAGGAACACCGGUGGCGAAGGCGACUUUCUGGACAAUAACUGACGUUGAGGCACGAAAGUGUGGGGAGCAAACAGGAUUAGAUACCCUGGUAGUCCACACCGUAAACGAUGGAUACUAGGUGUAGG
rnacentral:rRNA from 1 species